GAUCAUGGUUCAGGAUGAACGCUGGCGGCGUGCCUAACACAUGCAAGUCGAACGGAGUCGUUUUGGAAAUCUCUUCGGAGAUGGAAUUCUCGACUUAGUGGCGGACGGGUGAGUAACGCGUGAGCAAUCUGCCUUUAAGAGGGGGAUAACAGUCGGAAACGGCUGCUAAUACCGCAUAAAGCAUCAAAUUCGCAUGUUUUUGAUGCCAAAGGAGCAAUCCGCUUUUAGACGAGCUCGCG
rnacentral:rRNA from 1 species